rnacentral:tRNA from 1 species
AGCUGGGUAGCUCAGUUGGUUGGAGCAUGGUGCUGAUAACACCAAGGUUGCAGGCUUGAUCCAGCUGCAUAUUCCUGCAUUGCAGUGG